rnacentral:rRNA from 1 species
GACAGAGGGUGCAAACGUUGUUCGGAAUUACUGGGCGUAAAGCGCGUGUAGGCUGCUCGGAAAGUCGGAUGUGAAAGCCCUGGGCUUAACCUAGGAAGUGCAUUCGAAACUUCCGAGCUGGAGUGCUGGAGAGGAAGGCGGAAUUCUCGGUGUAGAGGUGAAAUUCGUAGAUAUCGAGAGGAACACCGGUGGCGAAGGCGGCCUUCUGGACAGUCACUGACGCUGAGACGCGAAAGCGUGGGGAGCAAACAGG